UACAUGCAGUCGAGCGGAACGAUGAUAGCUUGCUAUCAGGCGUCGAGCGGCGGACGGGUGAGUAAUACUUAGGAAUCUACCUAGUAGUGGGGGAUAGCACGGGGAAACUCGUAUUAAUACCGCAUACGACCUACGGGAGAAAGGGGGCAGUUUACUGCUCUCGCUAUUAGAUGAGCCUAAGUCGGAUUAGCUAGAUGGUGGGGUAAAGGCCUACCAUGGCGACGAUCUGUAGCUGGUCUGAGAGGAUGAUCAGCCACACCGGGACUGAGACACGGCCCGGACUCCUACGGGAGGCAGCAGUGGGGAAUAUUGGACAAUGGGGGAAACCCUGAUCCAGCCAUGCCGCGUGUGUGAAGAAGGCCUUUUGGUUGUAAAGCACUUUAAGCAGUGAAGAAGACUCUUCGGUUAAUACCCGGAGACGAUGACAUUAGCUGCAGAAUAAGCACCGGCUAACUCUGUGCCAGCAGCCGCGGUAAUACAGAGGGUGCAAGCGUUAAUCGGAAUUACUGGGCGUAAAGGGAGCGUAGGUGGCUCGAUAAGUCAGAUGUGAAAUCCCCGGGCUCAACCUGGGAACUGCAUCUGAUACUGUUGAGCUAGAGUAUGUGAGAGGAAGGUAGAAUUCCAGGUGUAGCGGUGAAAUGCGUAGAGAUCUGGAGGAAUACCGAUGGCGAAGGCAGCCUUCUGGCAUAAUACUGACACUGAGGCUCGAAAGCGUGGGUAGCAAACAGGAUUAGAUACCCUGGUAGUCCACGCCGUAAACGAUGUCUACUAGUCGUUGGGUCCCUUGAGGACUUAGUGACGCAGCUAACGCAAUAAGUAGACCGCCUGGGGAGUACGGCCGCAAGGUUAAAACUCAAAUGAAUUGACGGGGGCCCGCACAAGCGGUGGAGCAUGUGGUUUAAUUCGAUGCAACGCGAAGAACCUUACCUGGUCUUGACAUAUCUAGAAUCCUGCAGAGAUGC
rnacentral:rRNA from 1 species